UUGGAGGGCAAGUCUGGUGCCAGCAGCCGCGGUAAUUCCAGCUCCAAUAGCGUAUAUUAAAGUUGUUGCAGUUAAAAAGCUCGUAGUUGAAUUUCGGAAUUUUUUUAUCGGUUGAAUCAACAGGUUCGUACUGAUUUUAAGAAUUUCUACCUUCUGGAGAACCUUAAUGUCAUUAAUUUGGUGUUUUGGGAAACCAGGACUGUUACCUUGAAAAAAUUAGAGUGUUUAAAGCAGGCUUAUGUCUGAAUAUAUUAGCAUGGAAUAAUGAAAUAGGACGGCAUGGUUCUAUUUUGUUGGUUUCUAGGAUCACCGUAAUGAUUAAUAGGGAUAGUUGGGGGCAUUAGUAUUCAAUUGUCAGAGGUGAAAUUCUUGGAUUUAUUGAAGACUAACUUCUGCGAAAGCAUUUGCCAAGGAUGUUUUCAUUAAUCAAGAACGAAAGUUAGGGGAUCGAAGACGAUCAGAUACCGUCGUAGUCUUAACCAUAAACUAUGCCGACUAGGAAUCGGACGAAGUUAAUUUUUUAAUGACUCGUUCGGCGCCUUACGGGAAAC
rnacentral:rRNA from 1 species